rnacentral:lncRNA from 1 species
CUUCUUCAUUCUGGCAUAAAAUUUCCCUUUGCUCUCUAAGCUAUUCCAUCAGUAUUUUGUAAUGAAUUUCCAGCUCUUCAGCUAUAUUAUUCCUCAGUCGCUUAAUACCUGUCAUUAUGUCAAUCUUCAAUUGUGAGGUUGCUGCAGCCACCAUGUUUGAUAAGAUCUGAGUUAGUCCUCCUUGUCGUAGCACAGUGCUAUCUUCAUUCUCAUGUAAUCAAUAAAGUUUUACUUAUAAUUUCGAUCUUAUACUGCAUAUAAAAGUGGAUAUUUUUGUAACAAAUAAAACAAGUUAUGGUUGUGGUCUUGAUGAUUCAACUCAUUUCCAGUGAAGUUCGAACAACAAUUGCUAUCAUAUUCGUUUGUUGCAAUAAUAAAUUAUAGAGAUGUUAGAGCGUCUUCUUUGUGGGUACCUUAUUAACAGUCGUAUGCUUAUAUUUUUCCUUCAUAUCAACAUAUAUUACCAUGGCUGUUACAAUAUUAGCUGUUGAUAAUGAAUACUAUCAUCAAUCGGUCUUUAUGUUUGUUUGGAGCAAUGUUGCUGUUUAGUAAAAGAAGGAAGUGAAUAAUAUUAUAGACUUGUCAGUGGUUUUAUGACCCUAUGCUUUAAAACAGACUCUAUUUCCUGAUAUACAUGGUUGGUAUGAUGCAUGUCUAUAUCCUUAUGUUAUGAAGAGAGAUUGACAGAAUCACUCCAAUUUCCAUCUACCAUAUAUUCAGGCUCAAUGAAAUUUUAAACGGAAUACAUGGGAUUUGCAGUAUACUUACAACGACAGCUGAUGUUGCCUGUACCGUAUUUUGUCCUUCGCCAUGCUUGGAAUAGUUGCCAUCAACGAUCUGGACCGGUUGUGCAGCCCCAGUAAUUUC